AUUGGACGCUGGCGGCAUGCUUUACACAUGCAAGUCGAACGGGCUGGGGGCAACUCCGGUCAGUGGCGAACGGGUGAGUAAUACAUCGGAACGUACCCCGUUGUGGGGGAUAACCCACCGAAAGGUGGGCUAAUACCGCAUACGCCCCUUGGGGGAAAGCGGGGGACCGCAAGGCCUCGCGCGAUGGGAGCGGCCGAUGUCGGAUUAGCUAGUAGGUUGGGUAAAGGCUGACCUAGGCGACGAUCCGUAGCUGGUCUGAGAGGAUGAUCAGCCACACUGGGACUGAGACACGGCCCAGACUCCUACGGGAGGCAGCAGUGGGGAAUUUUGGACAAUGGGCGCAAGCCUGAUCCAGCCAUGCCGCGUGAGUGAAGAAGGCCUUCGGGUUGUAAAGCUCUUUCGGCCGGAACGAAAUCGCGCCCCCUAAUACGGGGUGUGGAUGACGGUACCGGAAGAAGAAGCACCGGCUAACUACGUGCCAGCAGCCGCGGUAACAC
rnacentral:rRNA from 1 species